AUAUUUUGCCUAGAAGAUUUAUAUAUUAAUAUCACAAGCUGGAUUGAGAUUACUUUAAAAUGGCGAACCUACCAUCAAUAGUUGUUGCUGGUUUAAGUCCCUCUGCUUUAGUUACUACAGGGAUAGGAUUCUUUCCGUUCCUUCUAGCUUCGU